GUCCAUUGAUGUAAUUUCUGAAAAAUUACCCAAUUUCCCAGAACCUCAAGUUCUUCCUUACCAACUGGCUGAUGGUGAGAAUUGAGAUGAUUCAAAAGAAAUGUGUAAGAAGGCUAGAUUAAUCAUAUCAAGAAUUUGAUGCAAAUAAACUCAAAUAAAGGUAAUGGAGGAAUACAAGGCAUCAGAGAUUUCUGGAAGGUCUUAGAAGAACCCAGAUUCAAUUGGUCAAGAUCUCCUACCCAGGGGAAAGUUUUUAUUACAUGUAAUUUGUUUUAAAAAAAAAAGAAUUAAAAAAAAUAUGUCCUACUUAAUUGCUUUAUUUGGGGUAUUGGAAGUAGAUAGGAGGGCUCUAGAGAGGCAGACCAAGAACUAUCCUAUUUGGUGAUUGAGUUGGCAAAUAAACACCCAACAGGUAAAUUAUGAGGGCAUAGAUCCCUCAGUUACCUUUCACCCCCUUAAACCAUUAGCACACAGGGAAAAGGUCCUUUACUAAUGAUGAGCCUGGGGCCUUGAAAAGAGUUAAUGGACCUCCCAGGGGGGAAACCAUUCACUCUCCAAAAGGGGAUUUGGCUCAUUCUCACUCUAUGGAGCAGCCCCUUCAAGCAUUAUCAGUGGAAGUCCUUCAUUAAUGUCUUUCAGAUGAAAUAAAUAGCUUUGGUUGCUCAUUUUGCUCUGGGCUUUUGUCAGAGGGCACUUCCAUCCAAGGUGUCUGGCAGAGAGUCAGGUCUCCAAGAAGAAGAACAGCUCUCAAAGACUAAAAAAAAAAGCCAAAGACCUUCCUUUUACUGGAAGCUGCCUCCUGCCUUUUCUUGCCCCUUCACUAAGAGUUUUUUUGUAUACUAAGCCUGAAUAUGGCGGCUGACCUUAGAUGGAAUGAUAGGCUGUCAAAGCGUUUCAAGUGUGGUAAAGCCCAGCUAAGGCUGACAUAACGAUGAGAAUUCUCGAAGGAAUAUGAGACGCUGGAAUGCAUUACAAAGGAAGACUGUGGAAUCCCUUCCCAUCCCCAUUUUUUUUCUUGAAGAUUUUUUGUAAAUCCAUCUGUCAAACUGCAGGGACGAGGCAAUAUUCCAGCUUUGUUGCAGCAUCUUGGAGGCAAAUGGCGAGAAAGAGAGAGGAUUUGGACCACAUAAGGAGGAUGGCAAUUUCCAAAACUGAAAAAGAAAGCUGUGGUCUGUUUGUGAAAGAUGCUAGUUGGGACUCAACUGGCCUGGAGUCCUGGACAGAAGCUGAGAAACCUCAUUCAUGAUUGCCAUCUGCUGGAGAGAGAAAGAAGGAAGUCCUGGGAGAUUCUAAGACCAUAACAGGAGGAAAGAAAUGUUGGAACCCCAGGAAAAGUUCCAAAAUCUUGCUAAUUCCCAGUGUAGGAUUCCUUGU
rnacentral:lncRNA from 1 species